rnacentral:rRNA from 1 species
AACGAACGCUGGCGGCAGGCUUAACACAUGCAAGUCGAACGCCCCGCAAGGGGAGUGGCCGACGGGUGAGUAACGCGUGGGAACAUACCCUUUCCUGCGGAAUAGCUCCGGGAAACUGGAAUUAAUACCGCAUACGCCCUACGGGGGAAAGAUUUAUCGGGGAAGGAUUGGCCCGCGUUGGAUUAGCUAGUUGGUGGGGUAAAGGCCUACCAAGGCGACGAUCCAUAGCUGGUCUGAGAGGAUGAUCAGCCACAUUGGGACUGAGACACGGCCCAAACUCCUACGGGAGGCAGCAGUGGGGAAUAUUGGACAAUGGGCGCAAGCCUGAUCCAGCCAUGCCGCGUGAGUGAUGAAGGCCUUAGGGCUGUAAAGCUCUUUCACCGAUGAAGAUAAUGACGGUAGUCGGAGAAGAAGCCCCGGCUAACUUCGUG